rnacentral:rRNA from 1 species
AGUCGAGCGAGCUUGCCUAGAUGAUUUUAGUGCUUGCACUAAAUGAAACUAGAUACAAGCGAGCGGCGGACGGGUGAGUAACACGUGGGUAACCUGCCCAAGAGACUGGGAUAACACCUGGAAACAGAUGCUAAUACCGGAUAACAACACUAGACGCAUGUCUAGAGUUUGAAAGAUGGUUCUGCUAUCACUCUUGGAUGGACCUGCGGUGCAUUAGCUAGUUGGUAAGGUAACGGCUUACCAAGGCAAUGAUGCAUAGCCGAGUUGAGAGACUGAUCGGCCACAUUGGGACUGAGACACGGCCCAAACUCCUACGGGAGGCAGCAGUAGGGAAUCUUCCACAAUGGACGAAAGUCUGAUGGAGCAACGCCGCGUGAGUGAAGAAGGGUUUCGGCUCGUAAAGCUCUGUUGGUAGUGAAGAAAGAUAGAGGUAGUAACUGGCCUUUAUUUGACGGUAAUUACUUAGAAAGUCACGGCUAACUACGUGCCAGCAGCCGCGGUAAUACGUAGGUGGCAAGCGUUGUCCGGAUUUAUUGGGCGUAAAGCGAGUGCAGGCGGUUCAAUAAGUCUGAUGUGAAAGCCUUCGGCUCAACCGGAGAAUUGCAUCAGAAACUGCUGAACUUGAGUGCAGAAGAGGAGAGUGGAACUCCAUGUGUAGCGGUGGAAUGCGUAGAUAUAUGGAAGAACACCAGUGGCGAAGGCGGCUCUCUGGUCUGCAACUGACGCUGAGGCUCGAAAGCAUGGGUAGCGAA